GAUGAACGCUAGCGGGAGGCCUAACACAUGCCAGCCGAGCGGUAUUUGUUCUUCGGAACAGAGAGAGCGGCGCACGGGUGCGGAACACGUGUGCAACCUGCCUUUAUCUGGGGGAUAGCCUCUCGAAAGGAAGAUUAAUACCCCAUAAUAUAUUGAGUGGCAUCAUUUGAUAUUGAAAACUCCGGUGGAUAGAGAUGGGCACGCGCAAGAUUAGAUAGUUGGUGAGGUAACGGCUCACCAAGUCAAUGAUCUUUAGGGGGCCUGAGAGGGUGAUCCCCCACACUGGUACUGAGACACGGACCAGACUCCUACGGGAGGCAGCAGUGAGGAAUAUUGGACAAUGGGUUAGCGCCUGAUCCAGCCAUCCCGCGUGAAGGACGACGGCCCUAUGGGUUGUAAACUUCUUUUGUAUAGGGAUAAACCUACUCUCGUGAGAGUAGCUGAAGGUACUAUACGAAUAAGCACCGGCUAACUCCGUG
rnacentral:rRNA from 1 species